rnacentral:rRNA from 1 species
UAUUGGUCAAUAGCCUAACGGCUGAACCAGCAACUUGGAGGAAUGUAUAGGGAAACCUGGUAAAAUGAUAGUACCUAGUAAUAUUAGUGAUUAAUAUGAGAUUAAUUUUGUUAAUUAAAGUUCUAAGUAGAUAUUGAUAAUGACAGUAUCUGCUGAGGUCUUGACCAAGUCACGUGCCAGCAGUCGCGGUAAUACGUGGUAGACGAGUGUUAUUCAUCUUUAUUUGGUUUAAAGGGUACCUAGACGGUUAAUUAAGCAAUUAGAUGUACUAAUUAACUAGAGUUUAAUGUAAGAAGGAUUGAGUACGGUGAGUGGAGAGAUAAAAUUCAUUGAUACCACUUGGGAACUGAUAAAGGCGAAGGCAACCUUCUAUGUAAAAACUGACGUUGAGGUACGAAGG